rnacentral:misc_RNA from 1 species
GAUGAAGAACGCAGCGAAAUGCGAUACUUGGUGUGAAUUGCAGAAUCCCGUGAACCAUCGAGUCUUUGAACGAAAGUUGCGCCUCAAGCCAUUAGGUUGAGGGCACAUCUGCCUGGGCGUCACAUAUCGUUGCCUGAUGCCAGUUUCCUCGUGAUGGGUGACUGUGCAGGGCGAAUGAUGGCUUCCCGUGAGCAUUGUUGCCUCAUGGUUGGUUGAAAAUUGAGUCCUUGGUAGGGAGCGCCGUGAUAGAUGGUGGUUGAGUGACGAACGAGACCCAAUCAUGUGAGACCCCUACCGAAUUUGGCCUUCAUGACCCACAUGCGUCUUUGGAACGCUCAUGACGAGACCUCAGGUCAGGCAGGGCUACCCGCUGAGUUUAAGCAUAUCAAUAAGCGGAGGA